rnacentral:rRNA from 1 species
CCCUUAGAUGUUCUGGGCUGCACACGUCCUACACUGGCAGGUUCAGCGAGCUUCAUGCCCUGAUCUGAAAGGAAUGGGAAAUCUUUUCAAAACCUGCCGUGCUUGGGAUAGAUGUUUGCAAUUAUUCAUCUUCAACGAGGAUUGCCUUGUAAGCGCACGUCAUCAGCGUGCAUUGAAUACGACCCUGUAUUCUGUACACACCGCCCGUCGCUCCUACCGAUUGAAGUUUUCGGUGAGUUGACAGGAGGAUUUUUUUGAAACUGGUUCGCCAGUGGAUUUUAGAUCCAAAUGCCAACGAAUCGAUGGCUUUAGAGGAAGGAGAAGUCGUAACA